UACGAAGGGGGGCUAGCGUUGCUCGGAAUCACUGGGCGUAAAGCGCACGUAGGCGGAUUGCUAAGUCAGGGGUGAAAUCCUGGAGCUCAACUCCAGAACUGCCUUUGAUACUGGCGAUCUUGAGUCCGGGAGAGGUGAGUGGAACUGCGAGUGUAGAGGUGAAAUUCGUAGAUAUUCGCAAGAACACCAGUGGCGAAGGCGGACUCACUGGCCCGGUACUGACGCUG
rnacentral:rRNA from 1 species